rnacentral:rRNA from 1 species
CAGUGGGGAAUUUUGGACAAUAGGCGCAAGCCUGAUCCAGCCAUGCCGCGUGCAGGAAGAAGGCCUUCGGGUUGUAAACUGCUUUUGUCCAGGAAGAAACGGUCUUUUCUAAUACAGAGGGCUAAUGACGGUACCGUAAGAAUAAGCACCGGCUAACUACGUGCCAGCAGCCGCGGUAAUACGUAGGGUGCAAGCGUUAAUCGGAAUUACUGGGCGUAAAGCGUGCGCAGGCGGUUAUGUAAGACAGUUGUGAAAUCCCCGGGCUCAACCUGGGAACUGCAUUUGUGACUGCAUGGCUGGAGUACGGCAGAGGGGGAUGGAAUUCCGCGUGUAGCAGUGAAAUGCGUAGAUAUGCGGAGGAACACCGAUGGCGAAGGCAAUCCCCUGGGCCUGUACUGACGCUCAUGCACGAAAGCGUGGGGAGCAAACAGGAUUAGAUACCUUGGUAGUCCACGCCCUAAACGAUGUCAACUGGUUGU